AGAGGGGCACUGGGCUGUUGAUUCAACUCAGUGAAUAGCUAACUACUUCAGGAAGGGUUCUUAUUUAUUUCAGUUGUGUAUUUGCUUUUAUAGAUGAUCUUAAAACAUCAUGAGUAGUUAUAAAUUAAAUCUUCAAACUGUCUGAUUUAUCACUGAGUAUCUCAAAGCUGUACUUGAGCAUCAUUCAGGUAUCAUCCUCCAUCCUGGUACUUCAUACAUUUCAAUGGAGAAAUUGCUUCUUUAAUGAGCUUCCAAGGAAUAGUCAGAAGCUUUGACCUUGAAUCUGAACCAGGAGUUCCACCUCAGCUAAAAGGUACAUUUCAAGUCUCCAGUGAAGAAAACCUUCCCUCAGAACUAUUUUGCCCAGAAAACGUUGCAGGCUGAGGCCUGAAUAUUAACUGGGGAAGAAAAAAAAGAGUAGACAAGCUGCAGAACAUCAAGUGGUGCUUACCAGGGAAGCAAGCGAGAUGCUGGCUGACCUGCUUCAGCUGGGGAACAGGAUUUUGGAGGUAUGCCACAGGAGGCAUUUCCCUGCAGCUUCCUGCUCUCAGGUCUCUGGGCAAGUGUUUAGGUGGUCCAAGAACUUCUGUGCGGUCUGCUGUUUCUCUGUCUUCUUCCCAUGAUCCUCAGCACUCUCAAGCCUUGAGUGCUGCAGCAAGGCUUCAGGGAAAGACUUCUGAGACUGUUUCCUACCUGCAUUAGUGAGAAGGUAAGGCAUCAAGGAGAGAGAAAUGGCUGCCAGUAGGAAAUCUUCAUCAAUGCAGUGUGAGGUACUAAGGAAAGUAAGUCUGUUGGUUCUUGAUUUUCUGUAAAGAUACAACACAGUUAUCUGUUGCCUAUAGUCCAUCCCUACAACAACAUCAGGUGCUAAAGUUUGUGUCCUGUUGUGCUUAUGAAGGGGAAUGGUCUUUGGACAAAAGCCUUAGAGCAUUGUAUUGACAUGGCACACUUUGUGUGUGGCUUUUUUUGGUGACUAAGACAAAAAAGGGCAGUCUUACAGGAUGAGGGAUGGAUUUUGACAGGGCAAAUUGUUGAGAGCAAGAUGUUUGAUUCUGAUUGAAUUAUGUGCAAAGAUACUAAAGCCUUUGUAGAGAAAUAAAAAAUUAUAGGAUCAUAAGAUAAUUCAGGCUGAAGGGGAUCUCAGGAGGUCAAACAGUUCAAUGUCUUCCUGAAAAAUAUGCUUUUGUUUUAUAAUGCAUUUGUUUGACUUGUUGACUUCAUUACCUACUUAUUUUCCUUUGUAUUUUAUUAUCAUUCACCGGUUUUUAAUUCUCUCUCCAUAUAUGCGUGCAUAUAUGUGUUUUUUAUGCUUGCAUAUGUAUGUAGGUGCAAAUACAUCAUUUCUGUCAUUGCUUCCACCUAGAAAGACAAAUUCUUGUCUCAAGUGUCAAUUUUUGAAUCUGAGAAUCUUGGCCUCUUGGGCAUCCAGCAAGAUAUUCCUGAAAAAUUCCAAGUAAUUUUAUCACUUCUCUGUUAAAUGCAUGUUCCCAACUAUAAUCUCAGCCAUUCCUCUAACUUUCAAUAAUUGGAAAAGAUCCUCGAGAUAUUUCAGGUUGGUGGCAUAUCCUGUUUGCACUUAAUAAAUCAAACCUCAUUUCAUUAGGCAUUUUUUCAAUUUUUAUAAAAGCCAUUAGCUGUUCCUUAUCUAUCAUAAUGAGGCCCAUUAUGGUGAGUAAUUGAUAAUGGACAUUACUGAGUUACUUGAUAUCCCAUGCAGAAAUUUCUGUUUUAAGAAAAAAGUCAUUUCUUUCAGAGAUUUCUGAAGUUUUAUUUAUUAUCUAUGUGGACUGAGAAAAUGAUCUGCAGGAUGAAAGACACUUUUGGUAACACAGUUGUCCUUUCUACUUUUAAUAGUCAUAUUUUUGUCCUGUAUUUUUGAGAAGCGUGGUAGUGUGUUAUGGAGACCACCUAUCUUGAUUCUGUUAGCUUAACUAAUUAGUACGCUAACCAGAAAUGCUGGAGAGUCCGCUCAGUUGCCCAUGAGUUUCUAAUAACAAGUAGGAUAUUGGAUGUAAAUGUCACCACCAUCCAAAAUGGUUUUCCUCUGUAGCAUUUACAGAACACAUUAGAAGUGAAAUGCAAUCUUCCAAAACCUGUAAGACCUAUCCCCAUCAGGUUUAUCUGUUACUAAUCACAUAAUUUGUCUUCUCCUAUAUGACUGCUUCCAACUACUGUUUUUGAAUAACUGGGCUUCAAACAAUAGUAUCCAUGAUGCUUCUCAGCAUACCACUUUGCUUUUAGGUUUGUCAUAAAAAAUGAUGCUUUUAGUUGGCUUAUAUGCUUGGAUAGGUAUGUCUUACUCUUUCAACACAAUUCUCUCCUUUUGUGUCAUUUGAGCAGAUUAAGUCUUCCUGACUACUUUACCUGUCAACCAGAAGACUGGUAUUAUUUUGCUGAGAUGAAGGACAUAAAAUCUUGUGCCCUAUUUGUUAGAGGUUAUCUUUUCUGUUUUGUAGAACCAGAAUCUUCCCUUUCUUCACCUACUGCCUCAACUAUUGAACUGUUAUUAAUCUAACUUGAAAAACAGCUAACAUUUCUGAAGUAUGAGCUGGCUUAGCCUUGAUCAGUUUUUCUCAGCUCCCUUGUUGACGAAUGUUGUUAGAAAAUCACCUUCAAUAAAUAAAUAUCCCUAACUUCA